CGAGCUAUAUAGAUAAAAAUGGAAGAACCACUUUAUUUGGUAUUUUAUGGGUAUUUUUAUUUUGGCUUAAAUUGGUUUAGGACCAUAUAUCUAUGAUUGGUUUGGUGUGGGUGAAUCAUAACUUGUACACGUACAAUGACAAUUGUGGCAAAUUGAAAGUGUCGACUCCUAAGAUAUUUUCCAGCCCAGAUCCAAGACUUUGAGAGGUGCUGGAAAGGUGAGGCUAUAAUCGUCGACUAUACUGCGCGUCGAAUGUGUCAAGUUGUGAACGUUGAUUUCCACUUGGAGAAAAGAAAGUAUUGAAUUGUCAGACUAUGCUGGCUGAGGAUUAAAGAUGAGACAAGGAAAUUCAUAACAAGAAUUAAAGUGGGUAUAAAUUCGGGACUCCGGAUAUGAAAUAUUAGACAUAGGGUUUGUGCAUCGAUCUCUAUAUACUCUCACUGGCCGAAAGACUUGCAGCAGGAUAAUUUCGGCAAAGAUAGAUCUUCGACUCGUCACACUUAAACAGUUCAUGUAAAUCACCUCGUGUAAAUUAAUGCGCUCAAAGAACUUCAUUCCUAAGUAUCUUAAAUUGUUACUUCUUGACUUUUUCAUUUAUUUGUACGUCACCAUUUCGACUUCAAAGCAGAACAAUAAUACAUCGAAACUAAUGCCCGAAUUCGGUGAACAGGCGGAAACCCAGGUUUCGAGCUCCCGCGAAUCUCAGAACCAAAAUCACUUGUCUAAACUCCUCUCGUCCAUCCCCAAGGACUAAUUCCUCCCAUUCUAGCAAAAUCGAAUUUUAAACGACGAAGAAACUCCUUACGAUUAGGGUUUAAAAAGUUCCCAAUGUGCCGUAAAGAGAAAAGAAAAGAAAACACAGGAAUAAUGACAGUAGGCAAAUGAAUAAAUUAGUUCCGUGAGACUUAGGGUGCGAGAAUCCAAAACAAAUUAAAGAUCCAAUUCUAAGCAGCUAACUUAAUUCACACACCAACCUUGCAAACCGCGCUUUUCGACUGCUCCCUCCUCCCUCCUCAAACGCUUCCAACGACCAGAAUUGCUCACAAAACGAUCACUCCAGGCGAAGCUGCAGCUCCGAGAUCAUCCAGUAGUGGAAAACAACGAGGAUACAAGGAAGGGAAGAACGGGAUGAAAGGGUAUCCAGAGUAGAGAUGCGAGGUGAGCUAGCGAGAAAGUCUGUCGGUGAUGGGUGCCUUGGCUGCGUCCGCCUGGGUCGCGCGUGGCAGGAGCGGCAUGAAGAGCAGCUUGUUCUUAGCUAUGGCAGAUGCACAGCAAUGCUACUCCUCCUCCUCCUUUUUCCUCCUCGAAGCCCAUUCUCUCUCUCUCACCCUCUGUGUCUGUCUGUCUGUCUGUCUCUCGCUCUUGCCUUGUGCGAAAACACAAUCCUGUCCCUGACCUUCUGUGUUGUUGGCCACACCAGUGCGCUCUACGCCCUGCGAUGCGGCGUCGCACAGCUGUGUGGGUCUCUUCUCCCCCGCCGCACUUCGAAGGUUCCCAAAUUAGGGGAACAACAACAACAACGCCUCGCGCAGCUGUGGCCCGUCUCGCGGCUCACAGCACGAGUCCAGCGCAGGCAGGCCAUUUUUCUUUUAUUCUGUGCCGUGCGAUUUGCGCCUCCGCCGAGAGUGUCGGGUCCGAUGACCCUAUCAGCACCGCUUCGGUGACGCCGUGCGCGGUGGGCAACAUAUUGGCCGAGUCCCCGAGUAAAUCAAAACCCACAGAAUAUUCUCUUCGUCCCGCACCACUGCAGGAUCCGCGAAGACAGGGAGACAGGGAGGGAGACACUGCAAUUCUUCAUCCGAUCGACUUGUAAUGUAACUAUCUCCCCCCGCACGACCCCCACGACCCCUAUUGCGACCUUGCUCGCGCUCGAUGCCGAAAGCCCCCUCGAUUCUGCUCUCGCCGCCAUUGACCCCUAAUCACCUUCGCCACUCACCAAUGCGGUUACUAAUGCUGUCACUAAUGCGGUUACUAAUGAGGUUACUAAUGACCCCUCGUGACCCGGCAAUCCAAGUUAAGCACAGUGUGUCUUACAUCAGGUGUGCUUGGUUUUAAGGUUUCCGAUCUGAUUUAUCACCAAGAUUUACUCAAAUAACAUUUGAAAAAACUAUACAUAUAUAAAUAUGUAUACAUGUAUACAUCUAUAUAUCAAAAAAAAUUAUUGAUAAAUUAUUGAUCAUUUUUUAAAUUGUUAAAUUGUUAAGAGGCUGUAUUCUAUUUCUUUUUUAAUUUAAGUUUUUGUAUUUAUGUUCUUUAGUUUGUAAAUGCGGCAUGAAAAUUGCUUCCUGUAUCUGAUAUCUAUGUAAAUAAAUUUGAAAGAAAAACCAAACAAACUUGAUAGUUUUGUCUCAAAAAAAAAAAAAAAAAAAAAAAAAAAAGUAUGUGUAACAAAAACUUGAAAGUGCGAAGUCAAAUUCUUUGGCCUUGUAGUGAAGUUUUCUUUUCUUUUUCUUUAUUUAAACAAAAAUAUAUGGUUAUUGUAAUUAUAACUGAAAAUGUACAUUCUGAUAUAUGGUUAGAGAGUGAUAUGCACAACUUAUAUAUAGUACUAAAGAAAUUGAAGAUAUAUAUAUAUAUACAUAUAUAUAUAUAGAUAUAUAUGUAUUUAUAUUUAUAUAUAUAUGUUAACUUAAAUCAUUCAUCUCAAUAUAUAAAAAAGCAGAGAGGAAACAAAUCAUCACAAAAGUAAAUACUUGUCAUCAAAAUUUAAUGUUGAUUGAGAUUAUCUUACAGAUGUUGCCAAAAUACAAGUAAUGAAUAUUUACACAUUGUAAAUUUUAAAAGUCUAAAUAUAAAUAUAACUUGUUACAUUAACAUGCUACAAAUAAUGUCAUUGUAAGAGUGUGAAUGAUGUUCCAAAUCCUAAAAUCCGUUAUUGAUUGUACUUGUAAUUGGAGAGGACAAAUUACAAGGUCUUUGAAAAAGAACAGGCGUUUCCUCCUAGAUUUGGCCAAAUAGUUUUUUAAAACUAGGUAAUCCAAUGCAUUAUUUGAAGUCUUGAUAAAAAUAUCAGAAUGGUUUGUCAUAAAUUUUUGAAGUAAUAUAAAAUCAUUUUUUAUACCAAAAUUCGUACCAUUAAACAUUCAUGCAUUUUUUUAUUUUGUAUUAUUAUUAUAAAUAUUAUAAUAUGAAAAAUACUUUGUCCAUUUAACAUUCUAACUACUAAUAUUUAUUUAGUUUCACUCGAACCAUAAUUAAUUGUAUGAUGAUAAAAUCAUAUGUAUGUCAAAACUGUUCUGUUUUGUCAACAAAUUCAAUGGUAUAAAAUGGUUACGAUGAACUUGGGUCACAGAGUCAUAAUUUGGUCGUACAGACCUUAGCUAAUCAAACUUCAUUUCAAUAACUCCUUCCAAAAUUGAAACGAGAAAUUUAAUUUUUGAGUGACAAGAUGUAAUUUGAUGUGUUGAUCUUGCAAUUCAAUUGAAAUACCCAUCAACAUAAAUUCUAAGAAAUAACUAUACUAUGAAACACAUUCUGCAAAAUACAAAAAAAAGCAAAAAUAUAACAAAAAAACAAAAAACAUGAACAGAACAAAUGUUACCACCUAACUGAGUAUUGCAAUGAAUAUUUUGCUUCAUCUUAUUUGGACAACAUUCACAUUCGAAACUCUGAUCCCACCCUCUCUUCUACGACCAUCCUCUGUUAGUUAAGGUAUCAUCCCCAAGGAUUAGGGUUUUCUUUAGUUAGUAUUUAGACACACCUGCACAACCUUCUUUGUUGUGUUGUUAGAUACUGUGCUUAGAAUAGAAUGUUGGUUAAGUUUAAUUUACAAUUGUAUUUAGCAAUUGCUUAGUUUAACAUGGUAUCAAAGUAGUGAUUUUAAAUCAAUGAUCAAACAUUCCAGUCAGAUGUAUCAAAGUUCAUUGAAGAGGGCAGUUCCUUGAAUAGGAUAUACAUAUUUAGAUCCAGAAUAGAAAUAUCAUGGAAAACCACAUGCAGCAACAACAUCAGAAACUUUGAACAUGUCACAACAAGCAGUGUCAACCAUAGAUCAAACACCAAUAGAAAGAGCCUAAUAUCCAAGUUUUACCACCUCAAAAGAGUCAACAAUUAUGCAAUAUGGAUGUAUUGCAUGAAGCAUAUGAUGCAAAGGGAAGGCUUGUUUGAGUACUGCACAAUUCCACCAUCCACAAUAAUAUUGGAGAGCACAAGGACUAAGAGAGAAAGUGCAUUGGUGGCAAUCAAUAACAAUGCAAAAAACACAAUCCUCAAGCUACUUAAGAGGUAUGACAAAUCUUACCAAUGUUGGGCAUAGUUGAAAAUUUGCUAUAAAGUUCAUUAUGGACUUAGAAUUGUCAUGAUCAUUGAUAGAUUCUUUGAGAUAAGAAAGUCAAAUAAUGUGUCAAUCGAUGUAUACUUAACCAAAGUAAAAGAAAUUAUAGAUUUGCUUGAAGAAUUAGAUGUGGAACUCCAAGAAACCAUUGUCAUAUACUACAUGGUUUGUCAUCUAUAGAGCCAAUAUAUCAUAUUCAAGCAUAUGACACUUGACAAAGACCAACUAUCAAAAUAUAAAGAAUUGGAAUUCAAGCUUAUUAGCUUGGAAAUGUCUCUAGACCUAGAUCGACUAGAGCAAAUUAGCAAGAGCCUAUUCACUCAAAAUACCAUGAACAACUUUGGCCAAACUUGCUAACCAAGUCACUAUAGAAACAACAACAAUCAAUAAAGACUAUACUAUAUAUCAUCAAUAUACCAACAAAGACUAAGUCGUACACACCAACUAUGGCGUUUUAAUAAAGAAAAUAUAUAUAUAUAUAUAUAUAUAUAUAUAUAAAAUUGCAUCAAUACUAAAAUAAUCACAAAUUCAACAAAAAUAUACAGACAUAUAACUAAAGAGGAACAUCUACUCAUCAGCCUUAAUUCUAACCAUGUAGCCUAAAAAAACCAAGACAUGACAUCUUCUACUAUUUUUGUAGAGAAUCAAGUCACAUAGAGUAGAAAUAUAAUAUCAAGUCCCAUUGACAAAGCUAAAGAUUGAGAGUACAAAAUCUUAAAAAAAAAAAAAAAAAAAAAAAAAAAAAAAAAAAUCACAACCUUAAUAGUUAUAUAAACUAGCUUGAGUUGGAUCUUCCAACAACACACAAAAUAUCCAAUUAAAUUAAAGCAUACAAUACACUUGAUAAUUGCAACAGUAACUUACAAGCACACUUCAUCAAAAUAAAAAUCAAUGCAGUCAAACUGGAAUCAAGCAGAGUCACAUGGUACCUUAACUUUGACGCCUCAAAUUAUAUAAAAAGAGAUAAUCAUCUAUUUUUAUACCUCAAUCCAUCUUAGAGGCAUAGGAUAUAAUUAGCUUGAGAAAUUAGUCAUGAGGUGACCGGUAUUAAAAAUAUAUUUAAAGAAUUAAAAAUCAAUGAAAUAAAAGCCAUCCAUGAUGGUUUUUUUUUUUUUUUUUUUUUUUUAAUAUCAUUAAAACCCUCAUUUAUGUAACGUAUAUAGCCAACAAAUAACUUAAUAUCAAAUUUGUAGUAGAAAGCUACUUUAUUAGGCAUCAACAGAUUGAAGAACUUAUUGCACAUGCAAUACGCAACAAAUGAAAUGGCUUAUACCACUUAGAUACACUAACACACUUUGGCAAUUAUAAGCAGCUAUCAAACAAAAAGAUCAAAGUUUUAGCAUGCACCCACAAAUUCAACUCAUUUGCUAUUUUAUAACAUAUCCAACUUAGCCAUUUUCACCUAUAAAGAAUAUAAUGUAUGUGUAAAUAUAAUGCAGUCUCAAGACUGUUUAACUUUCAUGUAUCAAAUAUACUAUAUACAACUUGCAUUGGAAGAAAACAAACAAAGAAAAAGGUACCAAAAAACUCCCAUCAUAUGUCUAAAUCAAUUUUUGAAUUUACAUAUUUUGAUUUAUGAGAUUCAUUUAGGAUAAAAUCUCUUAGAAGAGCACAUUACUAUGUCAUUUCAAUUGAUAAUUUCUCUAAAAAAAUAUGGGCCUACUUCAUAGAGCAUAAAAGCUAUAUGCUAUUAAGAUUCAAAAUCUAUGAAGAAAAAAUAAAAGCAUUGACAAAUAGACUAAUCCAAGUUCUCAAAAUCAAUAACUAUCAUGGACAUACUCAAGUAAGCUAGUAAUUACAUAUACAAAUAGGUGGAAGUAAGUAAAAAUAGAUAAAAGUAAAUUAAUUCUAUAGUAUUUAAUAUGAAAGCUUUCUAGAAGCUUUAUAAAUGCUGCUUUGACUUCAUAUGUGUCUUUUAUUGACUUUUUGGAUUAGAAACGUGGUCAACAAGUUGGCCAUGUGCCACACAUGUUGUUAGCUUGAAGAUCAAGCUAACUAUAUGGCCCACACGUAGAAAAACUUGCCUUGUAAGUUAAGGCAUGUGUCCUACAAAGUCAACACAUAUUGAAGGUCCUAUAGAAUGUCGCCACGUAGCCCCUAGUAAGAUAGUAUAUAUAGAGAUAAGAGUGAAGUCUUCUUCACUCUUGUCAACUCCUUUCUUGCUUCCAAUCUAGUUUCAAGGGUCUCUAGUUUCUUUGUCUUUUGGCAAUAGCCAUUCCAGUUUCUCUUUCAAUAUACAUACUUGUUUAUUUAUAUUUUGUUACCUUUCUUUAAGUGAAGGCAGACUUAUCUGAAUUAUUUUUUCAUCGAGUUCUUGUCUUUGAUAGAUUGACAAGAGUACACCUACAAUAUCAGAGUUUUGUCUAAUCUUGAUUUAGAGUGGAUUACCCCUUUUUCUUGAUAAGAUAUAAGCAUAUUAGAAGUUGCAGAUUACCCUCUUCUGAACUGAUAUUGUCCUUAGUAUUUUCUUUGUUCUCAAGUCCUCUCUUCUAUUUGUCUUGAGCAAUAUUAGACAUCUUCUCUUUUUGUAAGUGUUAUCAUGGCAGAACUUAUUGAAAUAAAGAGUGCAAUGGUACAAAUGUAAGAGCAAUUGAGGGAGAUAAUGCUUGCGAUGCAUCAACUCAAUUUACCACCACAAGGAGUUACAAGAUUGGAAAGAAGUGAAGAUAUAGAAAUGGUUGGAGCUGCUUCAACAUCUACACCAAAUCAUGUCCUUUUUUCUAUGGUGGAACGCCCUUCCAAUGUUAGAGAACCAAGAAUUGCCCCACCCGAGAAGUUUGAUGGCACCAGAUUUAAGUUUCAAGGAUUUAUCAAUCAAGUGCAACUUGUAAUUGAACUUCAACUCCAAAGCUAUCCAACUCUAAAAUCACAAGUUAGAUUCAUUGAUACGCUUCUUUCAGAUUACACACUAUCGUGAUUUUCAUCUUUUCUUGAAUGAUGAGAUUCAAUAUUGGAUAAUCUAGAGGCUUUUUUGGUGGAGUUUCCAUCCAUGUAUGGAGAACAUGAUGCAAUUCGUAUUGCAACCAAUAAGAUCCGUAUUUUAUGACAAGGCAAUCAAUCAAUAAUGUUGCAUGCUUCAUAAUUUUGAUAACUUGUAAUUCAUAUCAAGUGGGAUGAUGCUGCACUUAUUAGCCAAUUUUUCUACGGAUUAUAAUAUGAGAUAAAAAAAUUAAUGCUCAACUUUUCUGAUCCACAAACAUUGAGUCAAGCAAUUGACUUUGCUGUGAAGUAUGACAAUUACCUUUUUGAAUUUCGAUCUAAGAAUCGUAUAAGUGGACCUCAACAUUACUAUAAUUCAAUGGCAACACCAACAUCUCUUCAACACAUACAUUCAGAAGUAGAGGAUAUGCAAAUUGAUGCAGUACAUUUCAAACCUCUUACUGAGCAAGAAAAGACUCGUCCUCGUCAAGAAAGACUAUGUUUAUAUUAUGGAGAACCAAAAUACACUACUCAACAUUAUCCAAAGAAAUGACGGAACCACAAAAUGAUGAGUAUGGUUGUGAAGGAAGACAAUAUGUCAGAAAACGAGUUUGUCCAGCUAUAAUAGGGACUGUGCGGUUGGAACCUUGCACAACAUCUAGUAAAGGUCCUAUUCUCUCCUCACAACCCUCUCCUUAUUUUACACUAAAUGUUAUUUUAGGACCUAAACAUUACAAAGCCUCUGCCUUGUUAGAUUAAGGAGCCUCAGCGUAUUUCUUGGAUGAUGAAUUUAUCGAAAGACAUAACAUAUCUUUAGUAAAGAAAACUAAAACUGUUCAUGUAGAAGUUAUAGAUGGUCGUCCAUUCUCUUCUCAAGAUAUUAUCCACGAAACCCUUCCUAUAGAAGUAAUAAUCAAUGGUUAUAAUACCUUUGUAGUAUUUAAUAUCAUUAGAUCUCCCUCUAAUCCAAUCAUUUUAGGUUUAUCGUGGUUAAAAAAAUACAACCCUCAAAUAGAUUGGAUUUCCCGAACUCUUACUUUUUUUAAAAGUAUAACUAAUAGUGUAGUUAAUCAAGUAGAGAGUCAUAAGUCCAGUUCAAUUAAAUCCGUAUUUAUAGGUGCAAAAGCUUUCUUGCAUGCUGCUAUGAAAGAAUCACCAUAUAUUAUUUAUGCCACACUUGUUUCUACUGGUGGAAAGACUUCAAGUGGCAUUCCAAGCCAAUAUCAAGAAUUUCAAGAUGUAUUCAAAAAAAAAAAUGCAGAUACACUCCCGAAACAUCGUCCCUAUGAUUGCUCAAUUGAUCUUCAAGAAGGAGCACAAUCGCCAUUUGGACCAAUCUAUAGUUUAUCAUAAAAUGAGUUGACUGAACUCAAGGAGUAUAUUGAAGAAAAUCUAGCCAAAAAUUUCAUACGCCAUUCUAAAUCUCUGGCAGGGGCUUCAAUUCUAUUUGUGAAGAAAAAAGAUGGCUCAUUGCGGAUGUGUGUUGUUUAUCGAGGACUCAAUAAGAUUACCAUCAAGAAUAGGUAUCUACUACCUUUAAUAUCUGGACUUCUUGAUCAGUUGAAUUAAGCUAAGAUCUAUACAAAAACAGAUCUCCGGGGAGCAUACAAUCUAGUACACAUCAAAGAAGGAGAUGAAUGGAAGACUACGUUUUGAACUAGGUAUGGACAUUUUGAAUACGUCAUACCUUUUGGACUUACAAAUGCAUCAACAACUUUUCAACAUCUAAUAAAUGAUGUUUUUUGAGAGUUUUUGGAUGGUUUUGUGGUCUAUUAUUUAGACGACAUCUUGAUCUAUUCUAAGAAUCCAGAAGAACAUGAACUUCAUGUUCGUCGUGUGUUACAAAUAUUAAGAGAUGCAGGACUCUAUGCCAGGAUAGAAAAGUGUGUAUUCCACACUACUCAAGUCGAUUUCUUAGGUUACAUCAUUUCAAAUGAUGGACUUAUGAUGGAUCCUAAGAAAGUUCAAACUAUUAUAGAUUGGAAGAUCCCAAAAACGGUAAGAGAUGUCUAAUGUUUUUUGGGAUUUGCCAACUACUAUCGGAUCUUCAUCAAGGACUUCUCUCGAGUUGCAGCUCCACUUAUACGUUUGACUUAUAAAGACAAACUCCAAUAGAAUCAAGAAGAGGAAGUUGCUUUUGAAUCUUUGAAGACAGCGUUUGUUUUUGCACCAAUCUUGUAUCUUGUUGAUUUUUCCAAAGCAUUCUUUAUCGAAAUAGAUGCAUCAGACUUUGCUCUAAGUACGGUUUUAUGACUAAUGGGAACAGAUGACAAACUUCAUCCAGUAGCCUUUCAUUCAAGAAAAUUCUCAGCAGCAAAAAUCAAUUAUGAAAUCCAUGACAAAGAACUUCUUGCAAUCAUGGAUUCUUUUCAAGAAUGGCGUCAUUAUCUAGAAGACACUUCCAAUCUAGUCACCGUGUAUACGGAUCACAAGAACCUUGAGUAUUUUAUGUCAGCACGCAUAUUAAAUCAUCAUCAAGCUCGUUGAAGCAUGUCUUUAUCAAGAUUUGAGUUCAUCAUCACUUAUCGGCUAGAAAAACAACAAGGUUUGUUCGAUGUCUUGUCUAGACGUUCAUAUCUUACACCAAAAGAAAGAGAUGCAGCUUUUGAGUAACAAAGAAUGGUUCUCUUGAAGCUAGAGCAAUUUCAUCUUUGAGCAAUAAAAUCAACAUUGACUGUUGAUUUAACUUUUCUUAAGCAAAUCUAGUUAAGUAUGUCUUCAGACCCUCUUGUUCAUGAUAUCAAGAAUAAUUCUUCUAAAUCUUAUGAUCCCUCUAAAUUUGAAUUCAAGAACAACCUACUCUAUUUCAAAGAACGCCUAUAUGUUCCAGAAAGAGAAGCACGUUUACGUAUUCUUCAAGCUUGUCACGACUUCCCAACAGCAGGACAUUUUGGAUAUAAUAAGACUUUAGAGGUGAUAUCUAGGAAUUUUUGGUGGCCUCAAAUGUGGAAGGCAGUCAAAGAUUUUGUACAAUCAUGUGAUGUUUGCUCAAGAUCAAAAACUCCUCUUCAUCGACUUUUUGGACUUCUUCAGCCAUUAUCCAUUCUAGAACAACCAUGGUCUUCUGUUUCUAUAGACUUCAUCACGAAUCUUCCAAUCUCAUGUUUUUAUGACUCUAUAUUCGUGAUAGUAGAUCGUUUCACCAAGAUGGCACAUUUUGUACCAUGUACAAAAUCUAUCACAGGUGAAGAAACAGCUAAGCUCUUUCUUGAUAAUAUCUAUCGCUAUCAUGGAUUAUCCAAGGAUAUUAUAUCAGAUAGGAGAACUCAAUUUGUAUCAAGAUUUUGGCUGACUCUUUUGAAGAUUCUUAAAGUGGAUAUAAAACUAUCUUUGGCAUUCCAUCCUCAAACUUAUGGACAAACGGAGCGUGUUAAUCAAGUUUUGGAGCAAUAUUUAAGAUGUACCAUUAAUUACCAACAAGAUGAUUCGACAACUCUUUUACCAUUGGCAGAGUUUGCUUACAAUAACACGGUACAUUCUUCUACAAAACAAACAUCUUUCUUUACUAAUUAUGGUUAUCAUCCACGACUUGAUAUUUUUGAAUUUUCAAAAGUUGAUAAUCUUGCUGCGAAAGAUUUGGCGAUUCAUUUAUCAGAGCUACAUGCAACGAUGCAGGCACAGUUAAAAGAGGCUCAUGAACAACAAAAUGUCAAUGUGGAUGUCUAUCAAAAGGAACAACCACCAUUCCUCUUGGGUGAUAAGAUAUGGCUACUUUAUCGCAAUAUCAAGACCACUCAUCUUUGUGAUAAGUUGGACUAUCGAAGAUUUGGACUAUUUUCUAUUUUUGCAUAAAUCAAUCUAGUUGUAUAUCGUUUAUAUCUACCGGAGUCAAUGAAAAUCCAUCCAGUAUUCCAUGUGUCUCUUCUUGAACCAUACAAGAUAGUGGACAUAUCAAGAAGACGACAAGCUCCACCUCCUCCUAUAGAAGGGGACAAUAAUGAAGAGUUUGAAGUAGAAGAAGUCUUAGAUUCAAGGCGGCGCCAAAAUAAAUUGGAAUAUCUUAUCCAUUGGCACGGAUAUGAUAUUAGUAAAUGCAUAUGGCAGCCAAUAAAGAAUCUUACAAAUGCAGCAAAGGUGGUGGAGGCUUUUCAUCGACGACGUCCAUCAAAAUCAAGAUGAAAACCUUCUUUAUAAAAGAAACAACAUCUAGGCAAGAUAACAUUCUACUUUCAAUCCUUGUUCGUAGCUUCUUUGUAGUUGUGAUGUUCAAGAGAUGGAGAACCAACAACCAGUGGAUUCGACUCAAGAGCCUUCAUUUGCUGACCUACCGGAUGAAACAUUAUAAUUAUCACAACCUUUAAGAUGACGCAAUCGAGAUGAAGAUCUUCAAGAACGACAUGUUCUUCCUCGAAUAGAUGGCGAGAUACAAUGCGUUUGGUAUCACGAUUUGAGAAUUGACUCCCGAUGCUUGGUGAUUUUACUAGAGGUAGGAACAACUCUUGAUGGUGUUCCAAAUGUUCUAUUCGAAGGAAGUUAUGAAGGCCUCAACAAUGAUCAAAUAACUAAGUGGUCUUUCCACCCUAGUAUGGGAUACUACUGAUGGUUGAGAGGCCCUAUCAAUCAUCUUCAAAGAGAACAAAGAUCAAAGUAUGUGGCGAAUACAAUUCGUCGCAUCAUAGAUUUCUUCAACAUAUAAUGACUGCUCUUCAUGGAACUAAUCCUUAGAAGGGGGGGGGGGGUAAUGUCACGGACAUACUCAUGUAAGCUAGUAAUUACAUAUACAAAUAGGUGGAAGUAGAUAAAAGUAAAUUAAUUCUAUAGUAUUUAAUAUGGAAGCUUUCUAGAAGCUUUAUAGAUGCUGCUUUGACUUCAUAGGUGUCUUUUAUUGACUUUUUGGAUUAGAAACGUGGUCAAGAAGUUGGCCAUGUGCCACACAUGUUGUUAGCUUGAAGAUCAAGCUAGCUAUGUGGCCCACACGUAGAAAAACUUGCCUUGUAAGUCAAGGCAUGUGUCCUACAAAGUCAACACAUAUUGGAGGUCAUAUAGAACGUUGCCACGUAGCCCCUAGUUAGAUAAUAUAUAUAGAGAUAAGAGUGAAGUCUUCUUCACUCUUGUCAACUCCUUUCUUGCUUCCAAUCUAGUUUCAAGGGUCUCUAGUUUCUUUGUCUUUUGGCAAUAGCCAUUCUAGUUUCUCUUUCAAUAUACAUACUUGUUUAUUUAUAUUUUAUUACUUUUCUUUGAGUGAAGGCACACUUGUCUGAAUUAUUUUUUCAUCGAGUUCUUGUCCUUGACAACAAUAGAAGCAAAUACAUAUUCUAUGAAUUCGACAACUUUACUUUAUAAGCAAACAUUUGAUGUGAAUUUACAUAAGCAUAUAACUUUCAAAAAAUAGCAUCACUAAACAUAAGAACUGCUCCCUCUAAAACAUUAUUUGUACCUUUCUACUUAAUAUAGAUUUACUAUGAAUGCUUUCGAUUCAAGUAGUAAGAGCAACAAUAAUAAUUUUUAACCUUUGGUUUAUAAAGGCAAUAUUAGACAAAACUCUAGAUGAAUUCUUCUUUGAGAAAGAAAUCAAAUAUUUUUACUCUUUAUAUUUUUGAUUCAUUAAUAUACAUACACACCAAAAAUAUAAAAUGAUUAAAACUUUAACCACACACAAUUCUAGCCUUUCAUCUUAGCUACAACUCAUAAGUUAAAAUAAUAUAGAUGCUACUUAUUCAACCAAAAUUCCAUUGCCAAUUCUAAGGACAUGCAAAUUCUUAAAUUUGCUUGGCAUUUGUAUCUCCAAUCCAAUACCAUUACAACAAUCUAAAGCCACCUCCUACUUAAGUUAUAUCUCUCACAUCUAAGAGACCAACCUUUCUAAGAUAGUAUUCUAGUUUUGCACCAAUUCUCUUUGCAUUUUUUCCAACCACAACAACUAAUUAUGAGAUUGACCUCUCUAUUCAUAAUAAUUCCAACACUACCAAUACAAUCACAAUUGGCUCUUUUAACAAUACCAAUAAUAAUUGUUCCACUCCUUGGCCACAUCACAACUCGGAGUCCACAAUUAACAUUGCUUCUCACAAGCAUCAAUUCAUCUCUAUCUCCCACCAUUAUUGAUUGUUACUUCUAACAAUCGUGCAAAUAUCCUACCUACCUUAAUCAAUUCAUAGCAUUUCCAAAGAUAUAUGCGAAAUUGAUGGAAGGAAAUAAAAACCUCAUAUUCUCUUAAGCAAUCCGCUCUUUCAUGUAGAAUGGCAAUAUGUAGGAGGAAUUUGAUUCUAUCCAAAAAAAUCAUAUCUAGACCUUAGUGGAUCUCCUUCCUAGUAAAUAAGCCAUCACUGUAAAAUGGAUUUAUAAAAUUAAAUCCACCUUCAAUGCCUCUACAAUUUGGCACAAGACUCCUCUGAUCACUUGGACUUUCUAGCAAAAGCAUGGCAUUGACUACUAAGACGUUUUUGCUCCAAUUAUUUGCUAGGAAACAAUUUGCUUAGUUACCAAUCAACACCAAUAAGUCUACCUCUAAGUCGUUUAUGGCAUAUUGCAAUAUCUUUGCAAAUAUCUCAACUUUAGCAUCUUCUUUGCAGUUGAAGAAAAAACUAUCAUCAUUACCUACUUCAAUGUCAACUACAAUCAAGAUCUGGAUAAUUGGAUCUCAACAUUAGCAUUCAUAUUUUUACUAGCUAAAACUCUAAUCUCAAGACAGUCCAAAAAAUAACCAACUAUCUCACAAUGCUCAUGCAAAGCCAAAUACAAAGUUUUAGCACAAUGCGCAAGCAAAAUAAUUUGGCUACAACAACUGUUUCAUGAAUCUCAUGGCAAAUACCAACUUCUACAAUGUAAAACUUGACAUUUGGCUAUCCUACUUUCAGUAUUAUCUUCAACUUUCUAUUCUUAUUCUCUUGCAACAAUUCAACACCUGGUUUUCUAAUUGCUCUUCACUUCCCAACCUACUUGCCAUCAACAAUACAAUCAAGGAACAAAUAGCUCUCCAUGUAUAGAAUUACAUAUGUUACUUCUUGUUCAACAACAUCUAAAAUUAUCUACAAAUACAUCCACAUUGCUCUACAAGGCAAUGCUUCUCAAAAAUCUUUUUUUUGUUCUAUUUUCUAUACCAACAAUUAAGAGAAUGGUUUGAUCACCAGAGAAUGUUGGAAACUUUGAUUUCAACCUUUCUCUUAGAACUAUCUUCUAUUAAUUAUGGUAUUAUUUCGAAGAAUUAGAUUCUACUUUACUUAGUAUUUAGAUACAUUUGCAUGGCAUUCUUUAAUGUGAUGUUAGCUCAUCAUAAUAAUACUAUGUUUAAUAUAGAAUAUUUUAAAAUUUAAUUUAUAAUUUAAUUUAGCAAUUGGUUAAUUUAACAAUAAAAGCCAAACAUUAAUUUUUAAAAUAAAAUAAAUUAACCUAAAUUGAUCUCAAUUUUGUAUCAUUGAAGAUAUUAUUUAUUAACUUUAGAUGCAAAUAACAACUUUGUUGACCUUUAUAAGCAAUAAUAAUACCACAUGGAUAUAAUUAUAAGCAAUAUGAGAAAUAAAUGAAUUUAUCUUUGUUAGGAAUAUUUCAUAAUAAAUUAAGUGUCAAAUCCAAGUUGAUGCCAAACAAAUGUGUGAUUUAUUUCUCUUAUUAAUAAGGAAGUUGGAACUUAUUUAAAAAGCUUUAUCACUAAAAGUUAAAAUCAAUAUUUUAAACAUAUGUUAUAAUAUAUUUUUCUAAAACUAUAAUGAAAAAAAGAAAAGAACAAAAAAAGUGUAUAUAUAUAUAUAUAUAUGUAUAUAAUACAACUAAGUGGUUAUUUGUACACAUGUAGGAAUAAAUAGAUUCACUAUCAAUUUUAUGAUUGACUUCUCAAUCAUAUUAAAGAUUAUAUAUAUAUAUAUAUAUAUAUAUACAUAUAUUUAUACAAAACAUAUUAUAAAUCAUAAUUAUUUUUAAAAAUACUUCACAUGUGUGAAUGAAGAUCGUAAAUACACUUAAAUAUAUGUAAAGAUGUAAGAACGUGCUUUGUGUACUAUUCACAUUUUUUCCACAAGCUUCACCAUUAUCUAUAAUCAGUGUUUCACUAUUUGGAUGUUAGUAAAUAUCGACGUACAAAUUACAAUCUCAAAAACAAUUUCUUCAGAAGAUGGUGUCCGGCUUUGCAAGACUAGAUAUGAAGGUAAAUGAACGCUCAAAUUAUCGGUAGUCUCACGAUUACUGAUGUACCUGGGUUUAGGGUUUAGGAUCGCACGUUUCUCUUGUUGGGCGCAGAUUGAUUGCAUACGGGUUUGCAGUCACUGAGCUCGGUUUAAAGAUUACGUUCGGACUAUGCAUGGACGUGCCUUUCCGGCCGAGUGCAAUUGUGUAAGCGAGACGAUAUACGGCAGUUUCCUAUCGCUGAACAGACUCACAGAGAAUUGCAUAAUCGGGCAUUCGAGUCGCAUCAUAAUGUAGGCAACCUCAGACAACUUCUGACAUCGGAGUUACGCGAGACUGAAUUCAAUUUCCGCAGGUCCCAGAGGCAGUAAAAGUAUUUACAAGAUCUUCCUAGUCUCAGCAUCAGGAAGCUAAAGAAGAGGAGACUCGAAAAAUCUACGAGGUAACAAAACUACUUCAGCAACCACCAACAUUCCUAAAGUUUCGUCACUCCUGAAAAAAAAUGAUCAAGUAACUAAGUUGGAUCCAAGAGACAAUCAAAGCUCACGCCCGCUCUCCCCUAAUCCGCCGCGCCAGCUGAAUAUCUUUCGGCAUGAUUGUCACGCGCUUUGCGUGAAUUGCACAAAGAUUGGUAUCCUCAAACAAUCCAACCAAGUAAGCCUCGGAGGCCUCUUGCAACGCCAGGACUGCUGAACUCUGAAACCUCAAGUCAGUCUUGAAAUCCUGGGCGAUCUCACGAACCAAACGCUGAAACGGUAACUUCCUGAUAAGAAGCUCGGUAGAUUUUUGGUACUUGCGGAUCUCACGCAGAGCCACAGUUCCGGGUCUGUACCGGUGAGGCUUCUUCACCCCUCCUGUGGCUGGUGCCGACUUGCGAGCAGCCUUCGUAGCCAACUGCUUGCGAGGCGCCUUCCCUCCCGUGGACUUCCUCGCAGUCUGCUUCGUCCGAGCCAUUAUUCUACCCAAUACCAAACUGAAGCACUACACGAAGCUAGAGUUCUGACACUGCGCAACAGUGCCGAAGUUCGGAGCAAGAGACGAUCUGGGAGGAGACUAAAAUCGCGAAGGGGUGAGGAAUUGAGAAACACGAUGAGCGAAAUGAAGAGGGAAUGCAACGCAUAUAUAAAGAGGAACACUGACCCAGUACUUAGUGGCGGGAGAUUGAAAUCAAGUGGCGGGAAAUUCCCGCCACUUCUGCCUGUUGAACGGUCCACUACCAGCUUAGGGUGCUAUCAGAUCGUGUUGGAUGCUGGUAUUCGAGCCCAUUCAUCGCUGGAUGAUAAUUAAUUGGUAAGGCUUUGCUGUUUAUUACAAUCUCUUUGCAAACUGGUUGUACCGCUGGCCGCAGAAUAAUUUUGGUAUGUGAUCGUAGCUGUAGGUUUCAGUUCAGUCCUGGUGUGUAGAACAUUCUUACAUAGUUUUCUUAUUUGAGAUUCUUGAUUUGGUGCAUUGUUAUGUGGGAACACAUACAUUGUACGAUUCGAUUUGCAUUGUUCUACAAAGACACUGCAAUUAUCGAGCACACUAUUGUUAGAGAGUUGAUUUGUGACUAAACAAAUUAGAUUCUCUCGAGCCAAGCAGGUAUUACUGUUUUGUCGGUGUAAAUCCAAGGUACAUCGGAAAGCCUUGUUGAGGGAAAUUACAGUUCAGGCUGGACUACAUUUGCAACACAAGCCAACGUCAUUCAGUCGAUUCUAAGCUCACGGCUAGCAACACUAUUUUUCCAAAAGGGUACUUUGAUACCCAACAUUAGUAGUCAAAAUCUUCACUCAUAAAAUAAGCAACGUUACAUAGAGGUCGUCAAGGAUGAUUCCAUUCUCUUUUGGAGAUCAUCCACCGUGCUACUGUUCCGCCAUAGACACUGGGUAUCUCGUAUCCAUUGUAAAGUACGCUUGAGCGCCUCACUGUUACUAGUAAAUAUCCUGCCAUGCGAGUAUACGAGGU
rnacentral:lncRNA from 1 species